CACCAUCUACCAGAGUGAGCUAAGGACAGAGCUGUGAUAGUCCCAAGCCUGUGGGUAAAUCCAGGGCAGAGUCCAGCUGCAGCGAGGCGUUGCAGUCUGCAGCUGGCUCCAGCUGGAGUGCCUUGGCUGGGGGCGAGGAGGGAAAGGGAGAGAGAGGCAGCAUCAGGGGGAAGGUCACUGCAAAUCUGCACGUUACCAAAGGCAGCUUUAACCCUUAGGCCAAACUCGUGGACGUGCUCAUUGGUAGGAGCAUUCUGGAGACUGGGACGCUCCUUAAAAAUCUGUUGAAAAGCGGUGGAGGCAACAGAAGACCUUCAGAGUGACCUCCCUUUGGAGAGUGCUUAAUGCUGGUUGAGUGGCUUGUGUCCUUAGGAUUUUGCUGUUUUGCUCCCUGGAUUUGGAGGCUGUGGAGUAAUUUUAGGGGAAGGGAAGAGUGUAUACUUGGCCUGGCUGCUCUGGUGGCAGUUGCUGCUGUUGGCUUUUUGUAGUGUCUGCGCUCACAAAGAGCUUUCUAAAAUGCAUGUUUGGUCACCAGCUGUGUUUCAGCCUCUGUCAGGAUGGAUGAGCAACUGGGAUACGGUGGAACUCUCUGUGGAGUAGCUGUAGAAGUUUUGGAAGCCUAACUUUAAAGAAAGGAAAGAGAAAUCUUGUUGCACUUCCUUAAAAAUUAUUAAAUGCUGAUUGACACCAUCUCCGCAGCAGCUGACUGUGAUGUCACUGAUGGCAGAAGUCAAGUGGGGAAUCUGUUUCAGGAGGAUUCAACCAAUUGCAAGAUCUUGUUUUCUUGAAAAGUUCUUAAUUCCC